UACGAAGGGGGCUAGCGUUGUUCGGAAUCACUGGGCGUAAAGGGCGCGUAGGCGGCUUUAUAAGUCGGGGGUGAAAGCCUGUGGCUCAACCACAGAAUUGCCUUCGAUACUGUAGAGCUUGAGACCGGAAGAGGUAAGUGGAACUGCGAGUGUAGAGGUGAAAUUCGUAGAUAUUCGCAAGAACACCAGUGGCGAAGGCGGCUUACUGGUCCGGUUCUGACGCUGAGGCGCGAAAGCGUGGGGAGCAACAGG
rnacentral:rRNA from 1 species